GAUCAUGGCUCAGGAUGAACGCUAGCGGCAGGCCUAACACAUGCAAGUCGAGGGAGAAGCCCUUUCGGGGGCAGAAACCGGCGCACGGGUGCGUAACGCGUAUGCAACCUACCUUUCACAGGGGGAUAGCCCGAAGAAAUUUGGAUUAAUACCCCAUAAUAUUGUUGGAUGGCAUCAUCUGGCAAUUAAAGCUACGACGGUGGAAGAUGGGCAUGCGUCCUAUUAGCUAGUUGGAGUGGUAACGG
rnacentral:rRNA from 1 species